CCUACGGGGUGCAGCAGUGGGGAAUAUUGGGCAAUGGGCGCAAGCCUGACCCAGCAACGCCGCGUGAAGGAAGAAGGCUUUCGGGUUGUAAACUUCUUUUGUCAGGGAAGAGUAGAAGACGGUACCUGACGAAUAAGCCACGGCUAACUACGUGCCAGCAGCCGCGGUAAUACGUAGGUGGCAAGCGUUGUCCGGAUUUACUGGGUGUAAAGGGUGUGUAGCCGGGUUGACAAGUCAGAUGUGAAAUCCUGCGGCUUAACCGCAGAACUGCAUUUGAAACUGUUGAUCUUGAGUACUGGAGAGGCAGACGGAAUUCCUAGUGUAGCGGUGAAAUGCGGAGAUAUUAGGAGGAACACCAGUGGCGAAGGCGGUCUGCUGGACAGCAACUGACGGUGAGGCGCGAAAGCGUGGGGAGCAAACAGGAUUAGAUACCCCAGUAGUC
rnacentral:rRNA from 1 species